AAGUCGUAACAAGGUUUCCGUAGGUGAACCUGCGGAAGGAUCAUUAAAAAUGUAAUUUUAUUAUGAAAACCCCCCUCUGUGUACUUUUACCUAUUACUUCUAGUAGAGGAAAAUAUACUUUUUCCUAUAGAAUACCAAUUCUAAACCAUUAUACUCAAUGAUAUCUGUCUGAUUUGUAAUAAAUAAAAAGUUAAAACUUUCAACAACGGAUCUCUUGGUUCUCGCAUCGAUGAAGAACGCAGCGAAAUGCGAUAAGUAGUGUGAAUUGCAGAAUUCAGUGAAUCAUCGAAUCUUUGAACGCACAUUGCGCCUUCUGGUAUUCCGGGAGGCAUGCCUGUUUGAGCGUCAUUAAACCUUACUCAAGUUUUUACUUGGAUGUGAAGGAAGAGUAUCUUUUAAUAGGAGUUCUCCUUUGAAAUUGAUUAGCAGAUGGUAUAAAAUCCUGACGUUGUAAAUAACAUCUUCUGAAUGUGAUUUUAUAAAAAUAUCAUCUAGCUUCAAAUCAAUUUAUUGGCAUAUAUAGUAUGUUAUAUACUCAAUGACAGUAAAAAUUCAUUUUAUGGUUAACCUCAAAUCAGGUAGGGAUACCCGCUGAACUUAAGCAUAUCAAUAAGCGGAGGAAAAGAAACCAACAGGGAUUGCCUUAGUAACUGCGAGUGAAGCGGCAAAAGCUCAAAUUUGAAAUCUGGCAUCUUUUGGUGUCUGAGUUGUAAUUUAGAGGGGCAUUUUCAAGUUCAGCACUAUUUUAAGUUCUUUGGAACAGGACAUCAUAGAGGGUGAGAAUCCCGUGCCUGAGUAGUUGUUCUGAACUUAUGUGAAGUGUCUCCGACGAGUCGAGUUGUUUGGGAAUGCAGCUCAAAAUGGGUGGUAAAUUUCAUCUAAAGCUAAAUAUUGGCGAGAGACCGAUAGCGCACAAGUAGAGUGAUCGAAAGAUGAAAAGCACUUUGAAAAGAGAGUUAAAAAGUACGUGAAAUUGUUGAAAGGGAAGCACUUGCGACCAGAUUUAAUCUUUGGGGGUCAUCUGGGUUUCGGCCUGGUGCCAUCCCUAUUGAUUGGGCCAGCAUCGGUUUUGGUGGUAGGAUAAAAAGUUGAGGAAGUGUGGCUUUCAUUUUUUGAGAGUGUUAUAGUCCUUAUUAUAAUACUGCCUACUGGGACCGAGGACCGCGCUUUUUAAAUGGCUAGGAUGCUGGGAUAAUGGUUUUAAGUGACC
rnacentral:rRNA from 1 species